CACAUGCAAGUCGAACGGUAACAGGUCUUCGGAUGCUGACGAGUGGCGAACGGGUGAGUAAUACAUCGGAACGUGCCUAGUAGUGGGGGAUAACUACUCGAAAGAGUAGCUAAUACCGCAUGAGAUCUACGGAUGAAAGCAGGGGACCUUCGGGCCUUGUGCUACUAGAGCGGCUGAUGGCAGAUUAGGUAGUUGGUGGGGUAAAGGCUUACCAAGCCUGCGAUCUGUAGCUGGUCUGAGAGGACGACCAGCCACACUGGGACUGAGACACGGCCCAGACUCCUACGGGAGGCAGCAGUGGGGAAUUUUGGACAAUGGGCGAAAGCCUGAUCCAGCAAUGCCGCGUGCAGGAUGAAGGCCCUCGGGUUGUAAACUGCUUUUGUACGGAACGAAAAGCCUGGGGCUAAUAUCCCCGGGUCAUGACGGUACCGUAAGAAUAAGCACCGGCUAACUACGUGCCAGCAGCCGCGGUAAUACGUAGGGUGCAAGCGUUAAUCGGAAUUACUGGGCGUAAAGCGUGCGCAGGCGGUUUUGUAAGACAGUGGUGAAAUCCCCGGGCUCAACCUGGGAACUGCCAUUGUGACUGCAAGGCUAGAGUGCGGCAGAGGGGGAUGGAAUUCCGCGUGUAGCAGUGAAAUGCGUAGAUAUGCGG
rnacentral:rRNA from 1 species